CUAGUGUACUGGCCUAGUGGCGCAAUGGAUAGCGCGUCGGUCUUCGGAACCGAAGGUUGCAGGUUCGAGUCCUGUCUGGGUCGAAUAG
rnacentral:tRNA from 1 species